rnacentral:rRNA from 1 species
GACGAACGCUGGCGGCGUGCCUAAUACAUGCAAGUAGAACGCUGAAGGAGGAGCUUGCUCUUCUGGAAGAGUUGCGAACGGGUGAGUAACGCGUAGGUAACCUGCCUGGUAGCGGGGGAUAACUAUUGGAAACGAUAGCUAAUACCGCAUAAUAUUGAAUAUCGCAUGAUAAUUGAUUGAAAGAUGCAAUUGCAUCACUAUCAGAUGGACCUGCGUUGUAUUAGCUAGUGGGUGAGGUAACGGCUCACCUAGGUGACGAUACAUAGCCGACCUGAGAGGGUGAUCGGCCACACUGGGACUGAGACACGGCCCAGACUCCUACGGGAGGCAGCAGUAGGGAAUCUUCGGCAAUGGACGAAAGUCUGACCGAGCAACGCCGCGUGAGUGAAGAGGGUUUUCGGAUCGUAAAGCUCUGUUGUAAGAGAAGAACGAGUGUGAGAGUGGAAAGUUCACGCUGUGACG